CCGAGCGAGGGCCCCCCGGGCCCGACCUCCAACCCUUUGUUGACCAACACCUGUUGCCUCGGGGGCGACCCGGACGCCGACGCGUCGGCCGUCGGGCACCCCGGUGGACCAUGUCAAUUCUGUGUCCGUACGUCGGAGUACUUUGCGAAUCAAUCA
rnacentral:misc_RNA from 1 species